GCCUGGGAUAGUUCAGUUGGUAGAGCAUGAUACUGUUAAUCUCAGGAUUGUGGGUUCGAGCCCCAGAUUGGGUG